GUUAUUCCCACAAAGAGAAGACUUAAGAACUUGGGAAGUGUGUAUUGGGAAGAGUUCAGUUGGGCUGAGCCCAUCUACCAGCCACUUCCUGGCCCUCCAUCAUACCUGCUGUGAGGUGUCACCAGGUCUGGACGUGACUCUCUUUGGGCCUGGAGGUGGGACAUAUGGUGGGGGGGUGCUGUAACUGGAGGGCUUGUUGGCUGAGUUGUGACAGCUUGGGUGGUUCCAGCUGAGGCCUGUGUCUGCCUGCACAGCCACGCACUUCCUUGGAAAGGCACCUGGUGGUCCCCUGUACUGGAACUCCAAAUGUUAGGCCUCUUCUCUUCUUGUGGGAGGAUGAUGGCAUUCUUGUCACAUGUGGAGUACCCGGGGUGUCAGUUAUCUUACACUCGCUGUUGUGUGUGCCAGGCAGGGAGGUCGUGAUGGAGCAGCCCUGCCCCUUUGUGUUUGCGGCAAGCCGGAGGCCUUCCAUGUCUCUCUCCAGGCGCUGCAGCAUGGGCCCUGCUGGUCUCUUCAUGCUGGGUGACACUUUGCCUCAGAGGGUUGGGAACCCAGCGUAAUAUCACUGGUGAAGAAGGAAUAUUAUGCCAUAAGAGUGCAUUUUAAGGAUAAGCAGCCAGAAAUAGGAUUGAAGUAGGACUGAUGGGAAGAGGCUCAUGGGAAAGAUUGGCCUAGGGGAUUUAGGCUGACUGUCAGUGGUUCUCAGGCCCUGGGGCUGCCCGUCCUGUACUGGGACUUGGCAGGGUCCAGUGGGGUCUACAGGGUGUCUGGUCAGCUGAUGCCCCUCCAGGGGAUUCUCCCUGAUUUUCCUCACCCUCCGGUUGACAGAGUCUAUGCUCCUGCCUCCUCAGGUCUGAUUGAUGACUACAAAAGCCUCCACGGCAGUGCCUCUGCCCCAGGUACGUCCGCUGCCCUGGGCACCUCCACCACUUGCCAGUGGCAGCCGCCCACUUACAAUAGCAGCAGGACCUUCAGUGCUCGCUACCCUCGUCCGAGCCGGAGGGGCUUCUCCCUGAACCAUGGGCCUGCGUGGCGCAAGAAAUACUCCCUCGUGAAUCGGCCCUUGGGCUCCUCGGACCCGCCCGGUGAUGGUGCUGCGCAGCCACCACUCAGGGCUGAGGGCAGCCAGGGUCCUGAACCACAGCAGUACAUCCUGGAGAGGCAGGUGCAGCUCAGUCCAGACCAGAACAUGGUCAUCAAGAUCAAACCACCAUCCAAGCCGGGCUCGGCCAGCACUGCGGGGGUCCUGCGGACCUCCUUGGAAGAAUACGAGGACCCCCCCUGGAACGACCACAGGCCUCAGGAAGGUGAGGGUGAGUCCCCUGGUGGGCAGCGGCAGCCCUCGAGGCAAGGAAGAGCCAAGGGGAGCUGCAGCGCGGAGGACCCCCUUCUGGUCUGCCAGAAAGAGCCUGGCAAGCCCCGGGUGGUGAAGUCAGUGAGCAGCAUGAGUGAGAACCCCUCGGAGCCCCGGCGGACGGUCAGUGAGAGUGCAGUUGCGGUCAAGGCCCGCUUCCUGCCCUCUAGUCUGCCCCAGCGAGGCGGCAUGGCCCCAGGCCGGAAGGCGGGCUCGCACUCUGUGGCCAGCUGUGCUGCACAGCUCUGUGGGGGCGGGGCCACGAACACCGGCCUCUCAGGCCCCUCCGCCGCCUCUGGCCUGGUGGUAGGCCCAGCUAGACCUGCUGUUGGACCCAGGCAGACCAGGGAGCCCUCGAUGCUGGUGUCCUGUCGAACCAACAAAUUCCGGAAGAACAACUACAAGUGGGUGGCCGCCUCGGCGAAGAGUCCUCGGGCCUCUCGGCGGGCCCUCAGUCCCAGGGCAGCGGCGGAGAACGUGUGCAAGGCCCCCUUUGCUGCAGCAGAACGAACAGAGAGGCCGCAGCUCAAGGCCGACCCAGACGCCAGGCCCAGGAGGUCUGCCGUGUCCUCUGUGCCUGGGGCCUCCCCCAGCAAGUACAAGUGGAAGGCCUCCAGCCCCUCGGCUUCCUCAGCCUCCUCCUUCCGUUGGCAGUCAGAGGUUGGCAGCAAGGACUGUGCCUCCCAGCUCUCCCCGGUCCCGUCUAGGUCCCCCCCAGUGGACAGACGGGCAGUGGAACCCAGCAGCUUGCAGCCUGUCUUCAGUGAGACUCCGCUCUCGGCUUACAAAGUGAAGAGCCGCACCAAGAUCAUCCGGAGGCGGGGCAGUGCCAGCCUUCCUGGGGACAAGAAGAGCAGCCCCCCGCCUGCUGCCAUGGCUAAGAGUCAGUUCAGCCUGCGGCGGAAGCAGGCCCUCCGGGGAAAGAGCAGCCCCGUUACGAAGAAGACGCCCAACAAGGGGCUGAUGCCGGUCUCCAAGCCCCGGCCGGGCUGCCUGCCUCCCGGCCGCACCUACCUCCCCUCCAAGGAAGCCUCCAGCCUGCAUGGCCAGCGGCCCCCUCCCACCAGCAAAGUGAUCAAGACGCGCUACCGCAUCGUCAAGAAGACCCCGACCUCACCUCUCAGCACUGCCCCCGGCCCCCCGGUCCCCCCGUCCUGGCGGGCCCGGCGGCUCUCCCUAUCCAGGUCCCUGGCGCUGAACACCCUGCGUCCCGCCGCAGGUGGGAAAGCCCAGACCGGCUCCCCUCGGUGGCGGAGCAAAGGCUACCGCUGCAUUGGAGGCGUCCUCUAUAAGGUGUCGGCCAACAAGCUCUCCAAGACCUACAGCCGGCCCGGCGGGGAUGGGGGCAGCAGGCCCCUGCUGCGCACAGGCCGCUUGGACCCUGCCGGCAGCUGCAGCCGCUCCCUGGCCAGCCGGGCCGUGCAGCGCAGCCUGGCCAUCGUGCGGCAGGCGCGGCAGCGGCGGCGGCGGCGAAAAGAGGAGUACUGCAUGUACUACAACCGCUUUGGCCGGUGCAACCGCGGCGAGCGCUGCCCCUACGUCCACGAUCCCGAGAAGGUGGCUGUGUGCACCAGGUUUGUCCGGGGCACCUGCAAGAAGACAGACGGGACCUGCCCCUUCUCCCACCAUGUCUCCAAGGAGAAGAUGCCUGUCUGCUCCUAUUUCCUGAAGGGCAUCUGCAGCAACAGCAGCUGCCCCUACAGCCACGUGUACGUGUCCCGCAAGGCGGAGGUCUGCACUGACUUCCUGAAAGGCUACUGCCCUCUGGGCGCCAAGUGCAAGAAGAAGCACACGCUGCUGUGCCCCGACUUCUCCCGCAGGGGCGUGUGCCCCCGCGGUGCCCAGUGCCAGCUGCUCCACCGCAACCCGAAGCGCCCGGGCCGGCGAGCAGCCACCCCCACGGCCCCAGAGCCCAGCAACACGCCCCCCAGGAGCAGGACUUCCACCAGCCACGGGCCCAGGAAGCCCUCGGCUGCCCUGCGCCCCGCCAGACGGAUGUCCAGCCCCACCAGCUCCAAGGCUGCUGGCUCGACCUCGCCCCCCUCCUCCCCGCAGGUUUUAGCUGCGGCCUCCCCCUCCUCCCCCUCCUCCCCCUCCUCUCCCUCCUCUUCCCUCUCCCCCUCCCCCUCCUGCUCCCGCUCCUCUCCCUGCCCCCCCUCCGCGUCCCUGUCCUUGGAGCCAGAGGAGCUGUGUCUGCAGGCGACUGCGGUCUCAGCGGGAGCUGGCUCCGGCGGCCUCUCCAAGCUGCCCUCCUUCAUCGCUCUGCAGUCCUCGCCCAGCCCUGGAGGCCAGCCCAGGGCCCAGGCCCCCAGGAGCGCCUCCUCCAAGGACUCAGGUAGGCAGCCCAGCUCUGGCUGCACGCACCUCAGGCCCCUGGGUCAGCCUGGGGAGACGGCAGCGCGGUCUCUGGCGCAGCAGGUGCGCGCCUGCAGGCCCACAGGGCGGGCGCGAGGUGCGGGCACAGAGCACCGCUCACAGACCGCCCAGCCGAGGGCUGAUUUAAUUAGAAAGCACCCAUUUCUGUUAAUUUGUUCUGGAAGAUCACCGCACACUCCUGGAGAGAACAGAUGUUUCCUCUCCCCCGAUGAACAUUUGGGGCUUGGUAAAUGGCUCCACUCAGCCUUGUUUAGGAGAGAAAAGAGGAUUUUAUGGCUGCAAACGACCCUUUCUGUAAACAUUUUACAGCUCUCUGCGCGUUUGAGUGACGAUAAACCCCACGCAGCUCGGCGGGCUGCAAAUUUGCGACCAUACGGCUAUCAUUUUAUUGUCAUAUUUCACGGUCGUAACGUUAAUGGGAGAUGCUUGCCACAGCCUCCUCUCCCAGCUCUGCUGAGCGAGCUCGCACGCUGCCUGCUCAGCCCCCGAGCCAGGGGCGCCAAGCUGCGGCCAGGCCCUCUGUGGGCAAGACGCCCUGAGGGUGAGAGGAAGGAGCAGAUAGCCCCAAGCCACCAGCAUUUUAAUUUUCGUUUUUUAAUUACAGUGAGACCCUGCAACCAGCCCUAG
rnacentral:lncRNA from 1 species